rnacentral:lncRNA from 1 species
UUUUUUUUUCGUUGCCUCUUUUUUUACUAGUAUACUCCGAUGUAAGAAGGAAGAGACAGGAGCGAGCAAACUAAUGUUCGGGCAAGAUAAGCCCGGAGCGCUGUGGCUGCCAUUUGUACAGGAGAAGCCGACCAUCCAUCCAUCAAAUAUCUCAUACUGUAUUUCGUACUACAACAUUAUGCCACUAAUUAUAGAUAGGUUCUCCUUCACCCGAUAGUGCAUACCAUCUCGACAUCCGAUAUUCUUCUGAUCGAUCACCUGUGGCGAACUAAGCUACAAGGAUCAAUUAACGGAUAACCGAUAGCUUUAUUUUUUUGUGAAUCUUGUGGCGAACCCUAAUUCCCUAAAAAAAAGGUACAAGGAUCAAUUAACGGACGCGCCCUUUUUCUUGAAAACGCAAGAGGAAGUGGAUGCAUGCGCAUUCACAUCUGACGUACGUACUCCAUCGGAACAAUCACGACCUCUGCAUGCAACCUGCAGGUGCACGUACGCACACGCAUCCAUGGAGACGCGAAGCACGUGAUCGAGCCAUGUCUAUGUAGUACCCUGCACAUGUCGACGCGUCCCAGGUGUUUCAUUAGUUAGUCACCGCCGGUGUCAGAGAACGAAUAGUGUGGUAGCGGCCUAGUGAUAACAUGGUACGACGGUGAAAGUGGACCAGAAUCCAUCGAUGACAUUGCUAGCUAACUCGACAGGCUAGGCAAGUCACCGUUCAUUCUUGGAAGUUUCUCCCGGCGGCGAAGACGACGACCGAGCGACGUAUACACACGGCAGCGACGGCUGGAUCCGCCCAUGGAGCAGAUCGAGGGUCCCCGACCCGACCCGACACACACAGCACGUCGAUCCAGAGGCGUGGGGGACAGCUUGCUAGCUAGCCCGACUUCUGCGACCGUUGACAGAUCAUUGCAUUCCAUCUCUGCACGUUGAAAAACUGAAACACACUACUACGAGUAGAUCAGGAUUCAGAGAUCAGAGUCAGGGGACCUGCGGGCAGUUAAGUGGCAACAGUGGCCGCGGUUGGAACGCUGGAGUUGGAUCAUCAUGUCUGUCUCGUGAUUCUGCAGGGUGAACGCGACGACGACGACCAAGAUUAUAAAUUCGUCAUAAUAUAGAUUGAUACUGUACCACGAGAGUGAACCCAGGAUACUGCCGCUGCCUGCUGCCUGCUGCCGAGCACGUCCAAAAUCUCCGAUUAUGACGAGUCAACCUUCCAUCUCGCUUUGCAGGUCCGGGCCGACUCAGUGGUCGGCUUGGCCUCGGAUCCACGCGGUCGUCCUUCUUCAGUCGCAGGGUCCUCCCCUUCUCUACAACGCAUUUCCUGUCUGUCUGUACCGUAGUCUUUUUUUUUCUUUUUCUUUUUCUUUUUGCAGGGAACCCCUCGUCCUUGAUAUCUUCUCAGUUUUGUGUGACAACCCAUCGACGACAAGGACCGGGGAGUGAUUCUUGCUAUGGCUUAAGUGUAAUUCUUCUUGAGUUGAUUUGUACUAUAAUCUAAUUACCGGCGAUGCCAUUGCUAGCUAACUUCACAUGCACCGACGGUGAUCGAAGGCAACUCAUUGUUCAUUCUCCCUUGCACAUUUCUCCCGGGCGGAGACGACGAGACGACCGCGACGUACAGGGGCGGAGCCAGGCCCGUAGCAGGCCCCGGGCCACAUUGAAGAAUUGUUACUGGAUUUGGGCCUCACGUCCUUAGUAAUGCUCCAGUCAGCAAAGGACUAGGGCCUCACGCCCCGGGCCUAGGCCCUGGGGCCUGGGGCCUGUCUCCGCCCCUGGCGACGUAUACACAUGGCAGUGCCACAACGAUGUAUGAAUCCACAGAUCGAGGGUCUCCGGUAGUCCUGGCAAUGGGCGGCCCGGCCCGACCCGAUGCUGCUCCCGGGCCAGGCCCGGGCCCGUCGAUUUUGUGAUUUUCUAAAGAGGCCCGGCCAGAGGCCCAAGGCCCGCCGGGCUUUUAUGUGUUCGCGCCCGGCUUGGGCCUAAAAAUCAGCCCCGGAGGCUUCAUCUGUGAACCGCGAGCUUCUUGAUCUCCUAAAUAAAUCCCUUCAAGAACUCAUCACCACCGUGCGCGAGCCCCACGGUGGGUGCCAACUGUCGUGGAAUUGUCACGGCAGAUGCCCUAGUGUCAGAACUUAGUCGUGAUGCCAACGCAUCUUUGUAGUAGCUUGAGAAGGGUUGAGCGGAAUCGAGAGACGUAACACAAGACAAGGAUUUAGACAGCUUCGGGCCCCGGGAAACAUCGUCCGGUAAUAGCGCUAUAUGUUGUUUGUGGCUAGAUCUCAUUAUGCUCAUGAGAGAGUCACCGCAUAAGCCGGCUCCCCCUUUGUGUCUUCCCCUAGAGAUUGUUUUUUCUUGUUUGUCCCUCUUUUGGGGAGCCCUGCCCCUUCUUAUAUAAGUUGAAGGGGCGGGUUACAUGACUAGUCCUAGUAGGAUUAGGAUUACUCUAUUACAAGUGGAGCCCUAGUCUUGCUUCCUUUGCAGGAGAAUAUUCCUUUUGUCUUCCUCUUAAGCCGGCCCACCAUCACAUGAACCGGCCUUCUGGGCCUUGGGCCUUGUCAUCCAUCUGACCCGCCGUUGGGGUCAUCAGUAAGUCACCAAAUACUCGUCGGGUCUCUGUGAGCCGCCAAGUCCGGCCGGGUCAUACUUCCGGCUGGGUCAUACCGCGGGGUAUAUCCCCGACAAUCGCGAUUCGAAUCUCCUCCUCAGAACUGGGAGGUUAGGAAUUCAUUUUCCGCUUCUGAAAUUUGAGGGAUGUCAAGCUCAUUUUGUCCGUCUCUGUUUUGUGUUUUUUCCAAACUUAGCACCAGUUGCCCGACAAGGGAAGUUCAUACUCCAGAGAACUCUCAAGUAGCAUCAAUAGUGACAAAUUUAGGUAAAAGCUGCAAAUUUUCCUCCCGUGUUCAAUUUAAUGCUCGAGAAGUGGUUCUUCUCUUCAUUGGACUAAACUUUUAAACAUUAAAAUUUUAUAAAUAUUUAUACCAAACUUUUUUACUUUGUCAUAAAUCAUUUUACUAUCAAAUGCAUAUUGUUUUUAGUAAAACGGAUUUUAAUAUACUAUUGUAGAUACUAAUAUAGAGGUAUAGAGUGCAAUUACAACAAUGAUUUCAAUAACUUUUUAAAUAUUCUUAUUUAUUAACACACAGUUCAACAACUAUCAUAGAUACUAAUUUAUUGGUAUACUUUGGAGGUGACGGGCCAAACACCAUUGGUUGUUUCUUGUUGUAAGUGAACGCAAUAAAAAGAUCCUUUAUUUCUAAAUUUAUAAUUACAAGUGCCUUUUCUAGUGCUAAAAUAAAACUAUAUAUUGUCGAAAAAAUAUCUGUUCAAUUUAAGAUUUAAAAAAUGUAUAAUUUAUUUCACUAUAAAUAUAAGCAAAUCUAUAUUAUCACAUUACUCCAAACACUAAUGCAUGCCCCUUUAUUUGUAGUUUUUAUACUCUUUUUAUCAUAGUAUCUAUAAAUAUCUAAACUACUUGUAGAAUAUUUUUGAUUGUAUGAAUUUAGCAAAAUGUGCAUUGGGUUUGUAGAGUACAUGACUGUAAUUUUUUGUUUUAAUAGCUAAUUCAAAAUUGUAUGAAGUGUCAUCAGUAGUUUGUCCUAAAAUCCCAUUAUUUCCUCUCGUUUGUUGGUUAUGCUUGAUGCCAAGUUGUAAGAAAACCUAAGAUCCUAAGGCCUAGUUUGGCUGCAUCGUAUUUUAUAACCGUGGUAAUGUAAACCUCGGCAUUCCAAUGCCUGAGCAAUGAAUACUCUAGUUUAUAAAAAAACAUGAUUUCCUAAGUUUGUUUUAGAAAAAAGGGAUCCAAACCUCAUUUUAAAAUAUUAUGAAAUACUAAACUAUUGGAGAUACUAAGGUUUUAAAAAUUGUGAAAUUUGUGAUGCCAAACAAAUCAAAGUUUUUAAAACUACGGUAUCUUAAAAAACCACACUAUUAAUACAAAAAACUCUUAAAAUACUUCUUUUCCAAACACAACAUAAUUGGGUUUUGGUGUAAAUGAUAUGCACACAUUAAGGAGGAACUCAUACAAUAUUUAUCUUCUAGAUUUUUUCGUCCAUUUUGGCAUUUGUUGCCAAUGGGGGAGAAGUUUAGAGGGCUUAAGACAAGUACUUUUGAAGUGCUUGUGUUCAUUCAUGCAUAUCUACCCUAGUUAUAUGUGCUUGUUGCGUGAAUGAGUAUAUAGAGAAAGCUUCACCAAGUUUAUAUCAACCAAUAUAUGCAUAUGAAAUUCGAAGUUCAUUCACACAUGCAUAUAUUGUGGGGGAGCUUGCUCUAUAUAUUGUGGUCUAUUAACAUCAAAUGCUUGUGUGGUGUUUUGAUGUUAGUACAACUGGUUUUGAUAACAUCAAGUUUCUUUGUGAUACUUGAUGCUAUGAAAAUCAACCCAAGUAUACAAUUUAUCCUUGGAUAAAUUGCAUGCUUGCUUCAAAUUCAUUAUACAAACCCUCUUAUUGAGAUUGUCAUCAAUUACCAAAAUGGGGGAGAUUGAAAGUACAUGUAAGUCCUCAUGUGUGUUUUUGGUAAUUAAAUGACAAUCCUUAUGGACUAAUGUUUACAUUGAGAUAUACAUUUGAAGGUUAGUCCCAUUGGAAAAUGAUUGAAGAAUAUUGGAAGACAACUCCUUUGAAGCAAUAAUUACAUCGAGAUGAUCAAAAUGGAGUUCAUUGGAGUAUCUGAAGGAUUAACUGCAUAGAGCUAUGGUUUUGAGCCACAAUGGAUUAAGAUCCUAAAAGGAUGAUUUGAAUGAUGAAUUCUAGGAUAUGAUCAUAAUGGACUCAUGUGUUGAGUUAUGAUUAAUCAAGUAUUCGAGCAAGCUAUUUAAGUGAAGAAUUCAAUAUACCCUUCAAGUCAUCAAGAUUAAAUAGGGAGUAGAGAUAUAGGUUAACCAAGAUGAAGCUCAAAGAUCGAACUCUAAAUGGUCAACACAUGAGCGCAAACGAUGCACCACAUAGGAUCUUGUGGUAUGAUAAGAAAUUAUCAAUUACACUCUGUGUACUAACCCAUACUAUGUGUUGUCUAUAUUUUUGAGGGUUAGGUGAUUCUCAUGGGCUCGCAUCGAGAGAGAGAUUUCAAGUGUCUAUGAGAGGAUGACAUCAAGUGUUGGUGAUCAUGGUCGUUAAGGGCAAGUUCAAGAUAACCAUCCCAAAGGAUUGCAUGCUUGAAGCUUGUGGAUGAUCACAUGAUGGACAAGUGAAGAUGAAUACAAAGAAAAGCUUCCCACAUUGUGUAUGGGGGAGAGACUUGAAGACUUCACCAAUGUCUUGCCUUCAUCUUUAGCCAAGAAGAAACAUCAACAUCAAUCUCAAGUGAACGGCUCGUGUCAAAGGUAUUAGUUCCUUUGAUGUUAGUGUUGUGGAGUGAUGACCACCAAAGAAACAUAUACACUCAAGGAUGGAUUCUCGAUAGCUAUGUAGUGUAGCUCUUUUAUGAUUCUUGAGUUAUAGGGAUCCCGCACUAUUAAGAGGGGAUCAAAGGGGUUUGUGAUGGAUUUUCUCGACUCAACAUCUUCUCUACACAAUUCCACUCCUAUCCUAUAUACCAAACAAAAUCCAAAGCCAAAUAGGCUUCCCAAAUAUAUGAUAACACCUUUGCAUAUUUGGCAUCCUCCAUUUUGGUUGAUCUUGGAUGGUUCUCUAUGUGAGGACCUGGGGUUUGUCCAUAGCUUCAAAACGAGCCCAAGAUCAUCAAAAUCGGAGUUUGUAUGAAAAAGUUAUGCAUGUUUUACUUUCGGCAUGCUGGCUGUUUUCUGCGGGGACGGAAGUUCCGGGCAGCCCGGAAGUUCCGGGCAAGUUCCGGGGAAAGCUCCGGGUUAACCAGAGAGUUUGCACAUAUCUGUUCCAAAGGGAGCCCGGAAGUUCCGGGCUUGCCCAAAAGUUCCGGGUUGCGUUUUUCUGUGUGUAACCGGCAGAUUUGGUGGGGCACUAUAUAAGGCACCCUUCUUCCCCAUCGAGUUAGGGCUUUUGGAUCUGAUAUUUCCCCAUUCUUUUGAGCUCUAUCCUCCUCCCCCAAGCCUCAAAACUCCAAUCCAUUUGGGGGAAAACUAUCCCAUGGAUCUAGGGUUCAUUUUUUGACCUCCUCCAUUGUUCCUCUCCUCUCCCAUCCCUCCAUAUCAUUAGUUGCUUUUGGUGGGAUUUGAGAGAGAGGGAUUUGAGCCUUCUCGUGCUAGACCCCAAAGAGAUUUGUGAGAGUUCCAGAGAGAGAUUUCAACCAAGCAUACACCCACUCCUCCUCUCUCUUUUGACCAAAGCAAUUUGUGAUUUGAGCAAGUCUUGAGCAUUCCCCCCUUUAUCUUGUUACUCUUGGAGGUUGGAGACUCCUAGGCGGUAGGAGUGCUCCGGUGAGGAAUCAACUUGUGAUUUGUCCCCCGGAAAGUUGUGAAGGUUUGGAGACCGCCUCAAGGUCUACCACUAGUGGUUGGGGAUCACCUUCGUGGUGAUAUCUCAAGGAGAAUAGGGUGAGCCUUCGUGGCGUUGGUGUGCCUUCGUGGUAACAUCCACCUCUCUAACGGUGACUAGCUUCCCUCCAAGGAAGUGAACAUCAGGAUACAUCCUCGUCUCCGUGACUUUGGUUAUCCCUAACCCUAACUCCUUACUUGUGGUUUACUUUUGUCAUUUGACCGUGCAUUCACUAUAUCUUGUUGUCCUCAUUAUAUUGUGGUGGUUGAUUAUAUUGUGUUGGCCAUUUCCUUGUAGAGAUUAUUUAGGCCUACACUUCAUAUUCCGCAAUUCAUACUUGCUACUAUUGAUAUACAUUGUGAUUAGUGUGAAUUGCUAACUUGUGUUAUAAACUUCCAUAUAUUGUGAUAUUGCUCAAGUAAGUUUGUGUAACUUACUUGAGUUUUUCUUGUAUCAUUCAAUUCCAUAUAUUGUGAUACAAUUUGUGUAAGCUUGUAUUGCUUACUUGUGGUGGUGUGUAUUAUUCAUUUCCAUAUCUCGUGAUAUACACUGAGUAAGUUUGUGUGACUUACUUGUGCUUACUCAUAUCCUCGUUGUUCUCAUCUUGUUUAUGCUAAGUUGUUGGUGCACUUAGUGAGCCUAGUAUAUUUAGGAUUUGUGCUUGAAAAGUAUCCACUUAGUUUAUUUCCACAUUAGGAUAUAGAUGAAUCCGUAAAAGAUUUUAAAACGCCUAUUCACCCCCCUCUAGGUGACAUCGUGGUCCUUUCAACCGCAACCUUUCUUGAUUGUGUUGACUCGAUGAAGACUAGUUGAUUGCUCCCCCAUACUUCACUAUGGGUGAUCCACUCUUCCGCACAUCUUCACAAGUCCAUUGUCACCACAAAGGACGGAAAGCUUCAAGCAUUUGAUCUCUUCGUGAUGCUCCACUUGAACUUGCACACCGCAACCUAACCCCACAAAGAACCCUCACAAAGACCAUGGGUUAGUACACAAAGCGUAAUUGACAAUGCUUACCAUACCAUGAGAUCACUUGAUCCCUCUCGGUACAUCUUCUACGCUUUGUGGGUUGAUCAACUUGAUUCACUCUUUGACUUAGUCUUGAUCAACCUCUCACAAGAUCAAUCUUUAGGUAAUUCCUUGAAUAGCACAUUAGUCGACACAAACUCUCCUUGAAACCAACACAUGUACUCCAAGAAAAGCCUAUGGACAAAACCUUCAAAUAUAACUCAAGGCAACCAUUAGUCCAUAGAGAUUGUCAUCAAUUACCAAAACCAAACAUGGGGGCAUCGCAUGUUCUUUCACCAGUUUUGCUCUAUGUGAGGCCCAGAAGUCCGAAUGAUGUUUCAGAUGUUUCAAGGAGCUACUCGAUUCGCUCAUAGGCUCGAAUGGAUUCAUGCAUGGGGGUCCGGAGGUUCCGGACCAGAUCGCAUGUAAAGCAUAACAAUUGAAUUUUGAUGGGGCUAUAAAAAGCCCACUCCCUUCUUCCCCGAAGGGUCACAUGUCUAAGCAGCAAGAACACUCUCUCUUCCACCACCCUUCACUUUUGAAAGCUCAAGGAGCCCCCCUAUUGCUCUAUUCGUGAGUUUGAUUUGACCAUGUUUAUUGAAAUUUCUGUGAACCAAACAAAUGUUAAAAGAAUCCAUAUGUUUGCCAAUUCUCUGUUUUGUACAUGCAUUCAUAGAAUAUUGAGAAUUACCAAAGUGUUAUUGCACUAUCAGGAAAUGAGAACUCGGUUAUUAAGUACUCGCAAAAAAGUACUGCCAUGCAUGGUUGAGUGUUCGAUCAUGUAGAACUUGUAAAGAGAUGUUUCUAUGAUAAUGAUAUUUUUAGUUGAGAACCACACCUCUUGGUAGGGUAACUACAAAGAAGAUGUACUCUCAUGGUGGUUGUUCCUCUCCUCGCGUAGUAUAGUGCUUAUGUAAUCUCCCUCCCCCUAUCUUGUCUCUGCCUUUGUCACAUUUAGGCAAUUGCAGCCUUUUGANNNNNNNNNNAUUUACAUGAGCGUGCACUAUCGGCUUUACUGUAGGAAUUCGGCGAAAUUCGCGGAUUCAUCCGUAGUCCACGUUUGUCUAGCUAUGGUUCGGUGGUGCACUGGUGAGGGUGUAUUGUUUAUGUGUAUAUCUUUGAUGUAAUCACGCAAAAAAAGGCUUACCACCUGUUCUUUCUGAUGCAACAUCAUGCAUGCAAGAUUUGUGUUCUGUAAAUGAUGGGUUCUGCAUAUAAGGAUUGUUCGUUCGUCGACAUAUCCAUCAAAUACAAAUGUGUUGCGAUAGUCGAUAAAGAAUAUCCCUCGAUCGUUGUGAAUCUUGGCACUUGUCCAAAGCUCAAUGGAAUACUGAUUGGUUUUGUGACUUCGACCGAAACGAAAAUGUAGGAAUGGAGAGAGCUACGAUAGUCAAGUUGGAUGGAUCCUACCGUGCAUGCACGCCGGUUUUUCUAGAUUACAAGUGUUCAACGUCCUACCUAGGUUACAACGAAGUACGAUGAUGUUGGAAAGUGCCACUAGCUAUAUGCAUUCACACUUGCACUACUAGUAGCUAAUAGUUUUGAUUCCCCAAACAAAAAAUAGUGGAGUAUUAGCUAAUAGUUUUUUGCAUGAUUCUUUGGAGUAAUAUAAUUUUGGCGCAAGAUACCAAAAGUCCAAGGGGAAGAGACAGGAGCGAGAAAGGACAGACGGUUCCAAAAGAAUGUUGCUACAUGCACGUCACUUCACACACGAUACAUGCACGACCCUGCAUAUCUCUCGCCAUCCAAGCCUAUGACCAAAGUACAGAAAGCUGUUGGGUUAGUCAUCGUGCGAGGAUCGUCCCAAUGUAUGUUGUGUGUGAAGUAGUUUCAGUUCUAAAAAUGUGCGGACCGGAUAAGCCUGUCGUGGUCUUUACGUACUCGUGAGAUAAUCCAUGCUGUUGACGUAUAAUGUGUUGCUUAGUCUCUUUUAUAAGAUUGGUCUUUUGGUUGCAUUGGUUAGAGCAUGCACUUCUACGUGGUAUCAUAGCCAAGAGGUCUUGAGUUCAAGAUCCGGCUGGCGCAAUUAAAAUUGCAGCCCACUUCCGGUACACAUUUUAGGUCUGAGGAAGCCACACGUGAGGAGAAGUGUUAACGUAUAAUGUGCUGCCUAAUCUCUUCCAUAAGCUCAGUUUUUUGGUUGCAUUGACUAGAGCAUGCACUUCUACACAUGCCAUUCCACGGGCAGGCGCCGAGGUUCACCGGCCGACUCCAUCCCGAAACAGAUAGACCACAGCUGCCAUUUGCAGAGGAGCCCGGGCCCACACGGCUCUUAAUUUCAAAGUGGAAGAUGUUCUUGAAGAAGAAUAAUGUCCGUCUCCAUCCAUGGACCAAGAUAUAUAUCUUACUCUUUUCGUCCGAAAAUAUUUGUUCUAUAAAUGGUUAUAUCUAGACUUAUUUUAGUUAUAGAUACAUUUAUUUUAUCUAUUUUUAGGACAAGUAUUUUCGGACGGAGAAAGUAUAUUAUUACGUCACUGAUCAUAUUUCUCCUUCACCAGGUAGUGCAUGUGGCUCUGUCGAUCGGUAUCUCACCAAUGAAGAUCGGGAGCGCGCUUUUCUUUCAAAACGUAAAGGAAGUGGCACGGAUGCUGCAUGCACACGUGUUGCACAUCUGAACAACCACGUCCUGCAUGCCAACAGCAACCUGCACAUAAGGCUAGGUGAUGAGUGCUAGAUCGAAGACAUGUAGGACACUCAUGGUACAUUCCAGGAAGUUUCCGCCGGCGAUGACGACCGCGUCAUGUACGCACACGGCCGCGUGACGCGCUCGAUCGAGGGUCCCCGAUAGGACCCGACACACACAGCUAGCACAUCGAUUCAAUUUCAGAGGCCUGUGGACAGUAGCUAGCCCGACUUCGUCGACCGUUAACAAACCUUAGCAUUCGGUUCGAUCUCUGCACGUUGAAAACCGAAGAAUACUCCUACUAAGAUCAGGGUUUAGAGAUCACAGUGAGGGGACCGACAGGGUAGCUCCUGCACGUCCUGCACGUUGAAAAUCAGAGCAUAGGAGUAGAUCAGGAUUCAGAGAUCAGAAUCAUGGGACGGGCCGGCUAGCCCACCAGCAGUUAAGUUGGCAACAAUGGCCGUGGUUGGAAUGCUGGAGAUCCAUCGCCAUGGCACAUCACAGAUGACACGCAUGACCCGGUUGUGUGCAAGUUGCAUCGGAUGAUCAGAUUAGCACGAGAGUGAACGCGACGACGACUUGGAAGAUCACAAUAGCACGAGGGUGAACCAGGAUACUGCUCGCAACCUGACCACAAUUGUGACGAGUCAAACUUCCAGCGCGUUGCAAGUCCCGGCCGGCACCGUGCCUCCUGGGUGGCUCAAAUCCACGCAACGGUGGCUUAGAGCAACUCCAACAGGUGACCCAUUUCGUUUGCUGGCGUUUGUUUGGAUCGGCGGGGACAUAAAAGUCGAUCCAACGCACCGAUCUGAACGAAUGAGUGUUCGCAUUUCGUCCGCGGGUGACCCAUUUUUGGUUUAUUUUUGAGUCGGAUUUGCGUCGGCGCGGACACGAGAUGGACGCGCGCGCGCCUACUUCUUUCCCCGGGCCUACUGGCCGGUGGCAGCCUCCACCAAUUUCCUCCAUUUUUCCAAAAAUCCACCCGCCCGCGUGCGCUCCCGCCCCACACCCGCCAUGAACGACGACCUCGACCUCGCCGCCGCCAGCGGCCUUGCCUUCCUCGCCUCGUCCGGCAUGACGAUCGCCCUCUCCGGCAAAGGCAAGCCUCACGCCCCGCACAAGACCGCCGCCGCGCCCAAGCCAAAGAAGACGCUGACACCCGAACAGCGGGCAAGGGAGUCGGCCAAGAGGAAGGGCCGGAGGCACGCCACCGACGCGAGGGAUGAAGCCGCCGCGGCUGCCGUUGUUGCCGCCGCCGCGCAGCAGGAGGUCACCAAUGCCCGCGUCACGGCGGCAACGAGGGAGGUGCUCUAUAUGCUAGGGUUAAACCCUAGCCAGCACGGCCUCGUCAACGCCAGCGUGGCCGCCGCGGCCAGCACCAGCUCAUCCGUGUUCCCUCGAAUGGUGCUGCCCGACUCGCCCCGCGCGUCGACUUGCACCCCAAUGCCCCGCUUCCACGUGUACCCGCAUGCCUCCCGCCUUUCUGCGGAGUGCUCGCCCGACGUGAGCGUGGUGGCGCCUUCCACGCCCGCGCCCAUCGACCUUAAUGCCACACCGAUGGCCGAUGGCUCGUCAUCCGGAGGCGUGAGGAAACGCGUGCGGCAGAUGCCGGCCGACGUGCUGCCGGAUGCCCUGUUCGACGGAAUGCCGGUCGCUGGCGACGAGGACUACAUGCAGAACCUCAUCUUCGAGGGCGGUGCGCCGGGCACUGGCUACAAUCUCGAUGAGACUCAAAGGCAGGACGACCGCGGGGCGUUCACGCCGGGCGCUGGCUAUGAUCCCGAUCAGGCAGCCUUCAUGCGUGAUCAGGUCGGCAUGGACCUGGACGGCUUCCCACUUGACCACGAGUUUUUGGACGACUACGGGCAAGAGGAAGAGGACGAGUGCGACAUCGAAGUGGAGCCUUUGUUCGAGGAUGAGCUCGCCAACCAAGUCGUCGGGCCGAAGCCGAAGCGCAAGAGUAAGCGGACGAAGGCAUACACGGCGGCCGAGGACAAGCUUCUUUGCGAGUGUUGACGAUACAUUGGACAAGGCCCCAAGACGAGCGUCGAACAAAAGCAUUCAACCUUUUGGAUUCGUGUCCACCGGGAGUUUCAUGAGCGCAAGAAGUUUCCGCCUUACCAAAUAGUGAGCACGCGAGGGUGGGUGUCCAUUUCGAAGCGGUGGAGGGUGAUCCAAUAAAAGUGCAACAAGUUUUAUGCCACUCUUGAGAGCGUCAAGGCCCACCCCGUGAGCGGCAUCGGCAUGCAGGACAUGGUAUGCUAGCAAGCCGCCCUCUUUUGUGUCUUCAAGUUUAUGAUUGCGUGUUCAUUUGCAUACUGUUUGCCAAUAUGCUUGCAUGAAAUACAUUUGUAGGCGUUUCAAGCUUUGGAGGCAUUCAAGGCCCAACACAACGGCAAGUGCUUCAACCUCUCCCAUUGCUUUAGGGUCAUCAAAGACAAGGAGAAGUUCAAGGCGCAAUAUGCCGCCCUCAAGUCACGUGGGGGGGAAGCAAGUCGUGGAGGAGGUUGGGGAUGGCAAGCCGGCACGACCGCGGGGGAAGACCAACUCCAAGAAGAAGGACAAGAGGGAUGCGGCAUCGAACGCCUUGAUAGCAAGCGUGGGGGGCAUGAUGAACAAGAAGGACUCAAGGAAGGAGGAGUGCCGGCGUUUCAAAGAAGAGCAAAUGAACGCCUUCAUAAAGAUCCAGAGGAGGCUUGAGAUGGACGCGGAGAAGCAAGCCAAGAUGCUUGAGAUGGAGGCGGAGAAGCAAGCCAAGAUGCUAGAGAUCGAGGCCGCCAAUGCCAAGACCAAGGCGAAAGAAGUCGUUCUCGCGAGCAUGAUGGCCGGGAUGGAGAUCAUGAAGGUGGAUCUCAACACCGUGUCACCAAGGAAGAGGCCGUGGUUCGAGAAGAUGCAGGCCGACAUGCUCAAGUUCAGCGACGAGUGAUCUCGUGGCCGCGAGCUCCUUCCUUUUUUGUAUGCCAGCUUGUGUGCUGGCAUGACCACGGGGCCGCGAUGGCAUGGUCGAACUCAAGUCCCACCCCUUUUUGUGUGCUGACAUGUGUGCCAACAGCUGACGAGUGCGUCAGCAUGAACUGUGUGAUGAUAUUUUUUAAUGCCGACAAUGUAUGCCGGCGCUGGCAUGAUGCCGGCAUGAGAUAUGUCUAUGGCAGCGGCAGGGCUUUUAAAAAAAAUAAGUGUGGAUAUGAAAUGAGUCGGCGCGUUGGGUGCACUGCCAACCCAAAUGCAAAACAGGGCGGACGCUGGGCGAGCGGCCGACCAAAACAAAUAAAAAUAGACAGAUGCACCGUCCAUUUGAGUCGGUCCGUUGAAGUUGCUCUUAGGUCGUCGUCGUUCACAGGGUCUUCUUCACAAUGCAUUUUAUGUACCUCUUUCUGCAGGGAACCCCUUGUCCUUUCGUAGUUCUGCAAUCGUGUACAACACGACACAGACAGUGAGGACUCAGGAGUGAAUAUGAGUAGCAGGAUUUCAUUUCACUGUGACUUUAGUGUAAGAAAAUCGAGUUCAUCCGAACCUAAUUACCUCUGCGCGGUUUCUACCAGCUUUAACUACCCGGGUCAAGAAGCAACCCACUUGGUACGUACGCAUACGUACGUACGUGCGCAGCAAGUUGGGGUACAAUUUGCUGGUUCUUGGGGCGCACGAAUUAAACAAAUUGGCAUGGAAAAACCGGAGGGAUAACGUCAGAGGAUAAGCACGUACUUCCUCUGUUCGGAAUUACUUGUCUCGAAAAUGAAUGUAUCUAGAUGUAUUUUAGUUUUAGAUACAUCCAUUUUCGAGACAAGUAAUUCUGAACGGAGGGAGUACACACGUGGAUGGUCAUUGGGUGGGGUGGAUAGUCGUCAAGCUUGACAGCUAGGCCACGCCCAUGUUAGCACAUCAGAGCAGAUCACAACCUGGUCAAAUGCUUAAUUAGUUUAGUACACUCCCACUAGCCCAUCACCGCCCGUCCAUUAGUUGUUGGAGUGCACAGAACACCUAUGUCUGUCUGACAGAGGGUUGAAUUUUUCACGGGGAAGAACAUGGUGCUGUCAUCGCGGGCUGAAUUUUUCAGAAAGGAGAAAUAUAUACUGAACAAACAGUCUCCAUGAGUAAAUAAGCCCAGCGUCGGCGAGCUUAAUUUACGAAACCCUUGAAGUCGAUCUGACGGUGAUCUCCUCUCAUCAUGUGCUUUGGGCACGUAAAGGGAAAAGUGUUCCAAACUAUGUACUUAGCAUCGAGCACAAACGUACGUACGUUGAUGACGAACAGCCACAGAGCAGAAUUUCAUACUGCACAUCAGAUUCAGAGAAACCAAAUGCUAUUCUGCUCCGACCCAAAUUUUGGUGUUAAAACCAGGUGGCAUCGAGCUAGCUAUACGUCUACAGUAGCUUCACGCAUCUUGGGUGCAUCAAGCAACCACGCAUGUGUGGCUUCCAUGUUUGGCCUAACAUUUUGCUUACAGAAUCGCGUAUGUAUGUGGUCAUUGAAAAUUCAAACAGGCAGGAGACUGCAGCGAAAGUUGAUCAUCAUCUACGUACUAUCGCCCAAGAAAUGAUAGGUAUGGCUGGCAUCUAACCUUUGAAUAACGACAGGGAAAUAUUUCCCGGCAAAAAACUAUUUUUGUUUGUUUUGAGGGACAGCAACUAGUACUAUUAUUCAGCUUAGCCUUCAGGGCAAAGAAAGUUAGAAGUCUCAAGUCCAAGUCAGUCGUGUCAGGCGGAGCUCGCGGUCUUCUCCGCCUCCAUGUGGGUGAUGUCUGCUGGUGCACACACAUUCGUUCUAGUCAAGUUUUGCAGGUCGUAGAUAGAAGCCUGAUGAUUGAUCCGUUCAAACCUUUCCUGUCUGUAUUCAAACUGAAUUGAUCUCAAGAGCUUACGGCAUCUACAACCGGACUGAGUAAAUUUGCCCUCUCAAACGUCCAUGGACGCAUCCAGUCAGUGUCUCAAUGUGUCCAUUUUAAGCCCCUUCAGUAGCUAUGCACGGCGCCAUCGAGCUAGCUAUACAUUUACAGUAGCUAGCUAGCUUCACGCAUCUCGGCUUGAGGUACAACCGAGCUAGCUAUCUGUCGAUCGAGAAAGCGAUGUGCCAGCCAGGUUCUCAAGAAUUUUCCAUCGACUCAGGUAGACAUCCAGAGAUAUUCCUUCCGACCUAACAAGUCCCACGCAACCAGUACGCACGCGCUUGCCCGUUUUGUCCUUUCUCUACGUGGAGUUCCCUGUUCACUUGUUCCGUUUUGUUUUUGCAAGCCAGCAUCAGGUGCCAGACACACACGGAGUUCAGACUUCAGAGAACUCUCAACAAGCAACAAAAUGAACAACGACGGCCCAGUUGGUGGCGCUGGCAAGUGGGCCCAGAUCACGUACUUAGCCAUGGACUAUUCAAAUAAGCAGGUGAUCGCAGCGCAGAGGUGAUCAUCGCCGGUUACUAUCAUUGAAGGAAAGAUGAGCAUCGCAUCUAACCUUUCAACAACGACAGUCGACAGAGAAAAGUUUCCUGGCACUGAGUAGUGAGUACUACUAGUAGCUGAUGAUGAUGUAUCCUUCGGGGCGAAGAAAGUAAGUCUCAAGUCCAAGUCUUCGUCGUGUCAGGCUAAGCUCGCAGUUUUCUCCGCCUCCAUGUGGGCGGUGUCUCCAGCACCGCUGCACACAAGUCCGUUCUAGUCAAGCUCUGCAGGUCGUAGAUAGGAGCCUGAUGGAUCCAUUCAAACAUUUCCGGUCUGUAUUCAAACAACGUUGAUCCAAAGAGCUUACAACCACAUGACCAAGCGGCAGGACACGGAGGGAAAACGAUUAUUAGGGCCUCUUUUGAAUGCAGGAUGCGUAAAAACAUGGAAAUAGAAAAGAAGAAAAAACAUCCGUAUAAAUAGAAUGUCGUCGCAUGUUUAAUUCGACAGAAAUUGAGAACAAUGGAAUGUGUAAUAGAUGUCAUUAGUUGCAUGGGAAGAAAAAAACAUAGAAAAUUUUCUGCAAUAUUAGAUGGAUGACAUACUUGUCAUUGGAACAAGUGAAAAAAGUCCAUGAGGUUUUUGUCUCGAUUGAAAUUUUCUUUUAGAAUCGCAUGUAAAUAGUCUUAGAGACAAAAUUUCUAUCGUUUCCAGUCCUACAAAUCAAACAAGAUAUCCCUCAAAGAGGCCCUAGCUUUGCCAAACUGCAUAGAUCUCUUUCACAUGCCUCUGUCUACUCAAGCCAAUUCAGCAGUUCCAAGAGCCCAGCACUGCUUUGCAUCAAAUUCCAACAACAACAACUUUAGAUAUUUGGUACUAUCCCUGGAAGAAGGGGAAGUUCUCUUUCCAUGCAACUGUACAAGUGGAUUCACAAAGACAACUCUGCUCCCCACAUCUUUAAAAAUACUUGGAGAAGUGCUACAAUGCUCAGAUACAAAAUCUUCUUUUUUUUGAAACGGAGGCAAAACCUUUGCCUCAUCCAUUAAAUAAGAGAGAAUAGAGUUAGUUACAAACAACCCGAGUACACGGCAUGCGGAUUACUCGCGCAAUAACAAAGACCCUAGUUUUCUAGCACCGGCGAUGAUCCAAAGGUUAGCCUCGGUGGCGACGGAGGAAACCAGCACUGUCGGAGGGGCGCACUUGUGCCUGAAAACUCGUGUGUCUCGCUCAUUCCAAAUUGUCCAUGAAAUAAGCAUGGUGAGGGAUGCCUUGGCUUGUCUGUGCGGAUAGCCGUCGUCGCAAGUACUUGCCCACCAAGAUUGGACCGAGUCGAACAAGGGCCAAGUGAAAAUGAUGAAAUCGGGGACGUGGUACUUGUCAAUGACCAAGGACAAAAGCCUUCUAGAGAAGUGGCAUUUGAAGAAUUGGUGACUCCCACUCUCUUGUUCCCUCUUGCAAAUGGGGCAAAGAUCACAGUUUGGCCACCCACGCUUUGCCAAUCCAUUGCGGUCCAAAUCCUGUCUUGGAGAGCCAACGAAGAAAAGAACUUGACUUUUGGGGGAGCCCAAACUUUCCAAACCAUCUAUCCAUGGGGGAGAGAACCAAUCCUAAAAAUUGUGCCUUAUAUGCGGAGGCCGCCGAGUAAUGCCCCGAGACCGAGUGCUUCCAAAGGAUGUCAUCCUCGGAGAGUUCGUCAAGAUGGACCUCAUUAAGGAGCAUCCAAAGUGUGAAGAAUUGCGUGACAUGAUAGAGGUGGAUGGAUUGAUCUUGAGGAUCCAUGCGUUGUGCUUGAGGGCCUCCCGCGCCUUCCAAUUCUUAUGCAUGGAAGCUUCAUGGAUGAGCGGGGCAAUAUCUUUAGGCUUGCGCCCAAGGAGUCAAGGGGAGUCCCAGAAGGGGGUCUUCGGGCCGUUACCAACGGAGAUGGUGGUGGAAGCAUAGAAAAAGUUAAGGUCCUCCUCGUCAUAAGGGUUUCCCAAUCUGACCCACAUCUUGGUAGGCUCCUUCCAUUCGUACCAAGGCCACCACAGCCGGAGGGCGCCUGUAAACUUGUUGGUGUUGAGGACCCCAAGUCCUCCAUAUUCGAGUGGCCGGCAAACAGUCUCUCAAUUUACUUUGCAUUUUGCCCCUGUCAUUUUGUCUGUUCCAGACCAUAGGAAGGCUCUCUCAAGUUUGUUGACGGUGUGUAGGAUGGACGGCGAGAUGACCAACGGAGUAGCUGGGUAGACCAGUUGGGAGGUGAUCACAGACUUGAUAAAAGUCGUACGUCCGAUGGUGGUGAUAUUCUGACCCUCGUAUGUUGUUAGCUUGCUCGCCACCUUGUCCAUGAGGAAUUGCAGGUCCACCAACUUCAGCUGCCAUACAGAAAGGGGGAGCCCUAGGUACUACAGAGGGAAAGAAGCUCUUGUUGCCGGCAGGCUUUGGGUCAAACAGCCCAGAUCGAGGUGGUUGCAACGGAUGGGCACCAUCGAGCUCUUGAGGAAGUUGGUGCAGAGGCCCAUGACCUCACCAAAACCUCUCAAGAUGCAUGCAAGAUUUUCCACGUCUCUUUUGAUCGGGGCCAAGAAAACCACCGCGUCGUCCGCAAAAAGAGAUGUCCUCAGCAUUGCCCCCCUUCCCCUGAGCUUGUGUAGGAGCCCCUUCCUCAUGGCCACAUCUAGGAUUCUUUGGAGCGGGUCAACGGCGAUGACAAAUAGGAGCUUCUUUUGGCUGUUGUUGUAUAUCAUCGAGUUGACUCCAGGAACCUGCUCCAAUGGAAAAUUUUCUUCCUCCAAUCCUACCUCUGUGAGAUGUGUCAUUCCAACACUGAAGAAACUGCUCUCCAUUUGUUCUGGGACUGUUUUUUUUGUUUGUUUUUGUUUUUUUUUGCUCUAGAAUGUUGGAACUCCAUUAUUCCCACUAGAAGAAGAGACAUUUCUUUGCUUAAUGAAGUCUUAAUGACACUUGGGGCUCUUCCCCCCAAGUUUGCAAUGGAUAUUCUAUAUUUGGUGCUGCCAAAGCGGCAAUUAUGCAAUAGCAUAUGUUGAUUUACACAGCCCAAAAGAUGUUGCAUUGUUAAUUUCUUUGUAACUCUCUGCCUCAUAAUCAUUUCCAAUGAAUCUCAAGGAGUGGUGGAGCUGAUAUAGUACAGUAUUUGUUAGCUUGUUGAUUCUACAAGAGUCUGCCUACGAGUUUCAUGAUUCAUCUCAACUCAACUAGGUUCAAAGUACGUAGGUCUAAUAAUUAGCUAAGGAUGGAUCGCUCUCGCUCUCGCUCUCGCGGACGCGACCGCCCCAGCCCUGUAGCCCACCAGCCCUUCCCGGCGGCAGCCGCUCCGGCACCCCCGGCCACCUCCCUGCGCUUGGCCUGGCCAGCGCUGCAGGUUCCUGCCCCGACCGCGCUACUUUGGGGCAUCCCCCCGCUCUGCUCGGGUCCGCCCGGACCUCCAGCUGCGCUGGAUCUGGAUUGGGAGUUGGUCACUCCUCCGCCGCCGCUGCCGGGGCGGCCCGCCUCUGUCCCUGGGGAAGUGUCGGUGGUGCUGGAGACCCCACCUGAGCAGCUGCGCGUCACUUUGGCCAUUACUGCUCGUCGUGGUGCUCCUUUCUUCAAUGACGCGUCUGACGAGCGGGGGGCGCCCAUCAAUAAAUUGGGUGGGUGGCUCAAUUGCUUCUGAGGGGAGGAGGCGGGCGCCCUGGAGAGGCAUUCAUCUUGCUCUACGCCCGCGGGGCUCGAGGCCCCUGACGUGGAGGGAUGGGUGGCCGUCACGUCCCGUCGGCCGUGCCAGCCGGCUUUGCCUGCUGCGCCAUUGAUGUCGUGGCAGCCCCCUCCCGACUGGAUUAAAAACCUGUGCUUUCGAUGCCUGAAGCCUCGCCAUCGCCAAGUGACUUGCCACAACCCGAUCACUUGCAGGCGUUGUUUCCUCCCAGGCCACCGCGCUAAGAGCUGCACCAACAAGCCGGCGCCGCAUCUUCGUCCGGGCGCCCCCAACUCGCUUCCUCGUCGCCCUGCUCCUCCUCGUGGGGGCCCGGCCGCUUCCUCACGCCCUGCCGCUCGCCCCCGUCUCUUGGAGCCUCCCCCACCACCGCAGGGAGCCAUGGCGUGGGUUGGAGACCACUCCCAGAGGCCGGCCGAGGUGUUUACGGUUAUCCAUGGCUCGCCGGCCAUGCACCAGGAGGCGGCGCUCCUCGGCUCGCACGCGAUUGUCGCUUGGCUCGACCGGGACCUGCGGCAAGUACGCAAGACAUCGCUGCGGCUAUCGCCUCCGAGCUAGGCGCGCUGCCUGAGGAUGUCUCCGUCGUCAAGCACUUCCCAGAGGCCUUCCUCGUCCGGUUCUUCCAUCGGCAUCAUUGCGUCAACGCGACCGGGCGCCGAGACCUGCCGUUCAGGGAGACAAGGCUGCAGAUGCGCCCCUGGAGGCUGGAGGCCCACUCGAAGACCGUCGAUCUCAUUCAUCACGUUCGCCUCUAUCUCGACGGGCUCCCGCUGCAGGCGUGGGACGAGCAGGCUGUGGCACAGGCCAUUGGCCCGGGCUGCUCGAUAGACUACAUCGAGCCUACGUCGAAGCUCAAGACAGACUGCGAGGUGCUGGGGGUGUGGGCCUGGACGGUGUCGCCGGCCAACAUACCUCGCGUCAACUGGGUGACCUUGUCGGCUCGCGCUGACAACCAACCAUCCUUUGGGCGGCGCGGACUUGAGCGUCGGGUGAUCAUUCACCUGGCGAUUCACGAGGAUCCAACGCAAGGGCCACGAGUUGUGUCCCAAAGGUACACCUGGGUGAAGGACGUCGUCGACGGCGAGCGGAUCGUGCGUGACCCAUAGGAGCGCAUCUCCCGCCCCAUCGACAACCACAGGCGCGACCGCGAUGAAGAUCAAGAUAGGAGGCGGGAUGACAGAGACCGCCGGGGACGCGAUCGCGAUGGAUCGCGUAACAGAGAAGGAUGGGACGCCCGUAUCAGGCGCAACCUCUCUCGCCAGCCUUGGGACGCAUCACGCGACCAGGGGCGCGGUGCUGACCGCGGUGGACGCCGGGAGGAAGGUGGACGUGACCGCGAUGGUCGUCGCCGCGGUGCUGAUGGGUCGUUGCCUGAUGCAAGGCGGGCGAUCGACGCCGCGCCUGCUGUUCUGCUCGGCUCGGGCUCCUCGAGCUUGGUCGUGGACCGCGCCCUGGAGAUGGCGCCAUUGACGGCUCCACCACUGGCUGCUGAGCGUGGCCGCAGCCUGACCCGGCACCCCUCGCCACGUGCUGAUCGCCGGCGUUCCCAGGAGUUUCUGACACCGCCAACCUCGCCCCCCUUGUCGCCAACAACAGUCCUCCCCCCUUCGCCGCGGUCCACAAGGCAUGAAGCCCGGUCUGUCGUGCUUCUGCAGGCAGAGCUAAGCCAGCCAAUGCUCGAGCUCUGCUCCCACACGAUGCUGCUGCUGCCAUUGGCUUUGCCUGCCAGGCCUCCUGGGUUUGAGGCCUCUCCCACUCCGCCGCUGGUGUCCAGCGGUCCUCUUCGGCGCACCCCAUCUCCGGUGUAGAGGAGGAGGGCUGAUGCUGCUACCUGUGCGGUGGGGCUCCAGUGCCUCGCACCGUUGUUCGAAGACCGUGAGGAGUCCAUUCUUCCUGCUCCUGCGACGACCCCUCCUCGGGCCCCUGCUGCUCGCCGCAAGACGAUGGCCGGGGUUACCAUCUCCAGGGUUGGGGGCACCCUGUCCAUCCACAAGACACGGCCGGCCAGUCGCGCCAAAGCCAACACCGCGCCGGCUUCUCAUGCGGCCGAGUUCCUCGUGUGCCGCUCUCUGGGAAUCAUCAAGGAUGGUGAGGACGUCACCUCGGCAGCUCUUGAUGCCUUCGCCGAGCGUUUCAAGGAGGAGCUUUCGCCAGAGGUGAUCGCAGACAUGCGCAGGCUCUUCAAGUUGGAUGAAAGCAGCGCCCAAGCUGUUGAAGAUGCCCUCCUGGUGCAUGGUGAAGGAGGAGCGCUGGACCUGGAGAGGCCCGGUGAGGAUGCAGCAGUACAGCAGACGGCUAACUGAGCUGCAGUUCAGGACCUGAGGGAGUACUGUGAUCAAUGAUAGUACAACAUGUUAAAACUCCAGGGGAAAUUAGUGGUGGAGUUAAGUUUACGUUCAGGGGUAUCCUCGUUGUGUGUUUUGGCACAGAACCAUGUAUCAGUUGUGUGUGGCCAAGGGUUGUGUGUGUUCUGGCACUGGGAAUUGUUGGCCCUUGUGCUUUUCUGUAUUAUGUGUCGGCUGCUGCUCCUCUAUUAGCAAAUGAGUUUGCUGCUGCUCGUUCAACCGUUGUCUGCAUUGGGGCGAUUGAUGUGCUUGCUCAUCAGUGGCCUUGCUUCAGGGAUUCCUUUGUUUCAUCAUGUUAGCACAACCGAUAAAUUUUCUGAGCUGGAAUGUUCGGGGCCUCAACUGCCCGGACCGUCGGUCCACGGUCAAUGCCACCAUCGCCUCCUCCUCUUGUCAUGUGGUCUGCCUUCAAGAAACGAAACUCGACAAUAUCGACCAAUUCACGGCCGCCUUCUUAGGGGGUCAUCGGUUGCGUAGCUUUGCGCAACGAUCGGCAAACGGUACCAGAGGGGGGAUCCUGCUGCUCUGGGAUGAUCUCCUAGUUGAGAUAUCCAACAUCACUACCACAACUUUCUGCAUCUCCGCCAUGGUCCGUGUUCGGAAUUGGGAGCAAUAUUUAAAGUAACAUCCGUCUAUGGUCCUACUGACCCCGCCCUCAAAGACGCUUUCUUCGCCGAGCUCCUUGGACAGAAACCGCCGGUGGGGGUGUCUUGGCUAGCCUGUGGGGACUUCAACCAAAUUUAUCGGGCGAGGGAUAAAAACAAGAGGAAUGUGAACCGCAAUAGGAUCAACCGUUUCCGGGUAGAGCUCGAUAGCUGCGAGCUCAAAGAGAUCCAUCUUCAGAACACGAGGUUCACCUGGAGCAACGAGAGGCAAAACCCAACGUUGAGCAAGCUUGACUCCUUCUUUUGCAAUGCCGAGUGGGACACAACCUUCAACACGCAUGUGCUCCACGCCCUCUCCUCGUCCCUCUCCGAUCACUGUCCGCUUUUGCUCGCCGAUGAUAAGGGGCCUAGGAGGCCUAAGACUUUCAAGAUCGAAAACUUCUGGGUCUCCAUGCCCGGCUUCAGCGAGGUAGUCCAAAAGGCAUGGGAUGAGCAUGUUGAUCACACUGAGCCCUACAUCAUCCUCUUCCACAAGCUCAAGAAAACGGCUCUUCGUCUGUCGCAAUGGAGCAGAGGUCUCUUCUCUCGAGCCAAAGUCCAUCUCCAGGCUGCCCUUCUGGUGAUUCUUCGCCUUGACAUUGCACAAGAAGGCAGGCUAUUAAACACCGAGGAGCUUGACCUUCGGGCUAGGCUUAAGCGGAGGGUAAUAAGCUUGGCCGUGCUUGACAAGGCACGCAAAAAGCAAUGUGCUCGCAUCUCAAACAUCAAAGAGGGUGAUGCUAACACCAAAUUCUUUCAUAGACGGAUCAAUGCGCGAAGGAGGAAAAAUCAUAUCCACAGAAUCAUGAAUGAUCAGGGAUGGGUGACCGAGCACAAAGCAAAGGAGAAGAUAUUCCAUGAGCACUUCACGCAUGCAAUGAGAAGAGGGGAUAGGAGUACCAAGGACUUCAACUGGGAGGAGCUUAACUUGGAGAAGCAUGAGUUUCAAGGGCUUGACUACCCCUUUACCGAGAAGGAGGUAAUUGAGGCGAUAAACGACAUGCCUAGUGACAAGGCUCCCGGGCCGGAUGGUUUCACGGGUGCUUUCUUCAAGAAGUGUUGGGACACCAUUAGGCAUGAUUUCAUGAGGGCGAUCGACCGUUUUGACUCCCUCCACUCAACAAAUCUGCAUUGGCUCAAUUCCGCAAACAUUGUGCUCCUACCGAAGAAGGAAGGGGCGAAAAGGGUCGUCGACUAUAGACCCAUUAGCCUCAUCCACGCUUUUGCCAAGAUAAUUGCAAAAGUGCUCUCCAUCAGGCUUGCCCCGCACAUGUCCACUCUCAUCUCCAAUGCCCAGAGUGCUUUCAUCAAAACGCGGAGCAUCCAUGAUAACUUCAUGUAUGUCCGUAACCUUGCUCAGUGUCUUCAUAAGUGCAAGACUCCUUCCCUUCUAUUCAAGCUUGAUAUCCGCAAGGCUUUCGACUCGGUCAGAUGGGAGUAUUUACUUGAUCUCCUUGAGAGGAGGGGGCUCCCAAGUAAAUUUAGAGAUUGGAUUGCGGCUUUGUGGUGUUCCUCCUCCUCGAGGGUUCUGCUGAAUGGGGUGGCCGGCACCCCCAUCAAGCACGGCUGUGGGCUAUGCCAAGGGGACCCCAUUUCCCCUCUCCUCUUUGUCGUCGCUAUUGACCCUCUGCAACGAAUCCUUGAUGUGGCCACUAGGAAGGGGAUCCUACAUAAGAUCAGAGGAAGGGGUGCUAUGGUACGGACAUCUCUCUACGCGGACGAUGCGGCGGUGUUCAUGGCCCCGAUCAAAUGGGAUAUUGACAACCUCGCAGCUAUCCUGAGAGGCUUUGGGGAGGUCACGGGCCUUUGCACCAACUUCCGUAAGAGUUCAGUGGUUCCCAUUCGGUGCAAUCACAUUGACCUAGAGCACAUCACACAAGGGUUGCCGGCUGUGAGGGCGUCUUUCCCUCUACGAUACUUGGGGCUCCCUCUCUCUGUCUGGAAGCUGAAGUUGGUUGACCUACAAUUCUUGGUGGAUAAAGUGGCAAGCAAGAUGACAACAUACGAGGGCCAGAACAUCACCACCAUUGGGUGUGCGGCUCUUGUCAAGUCGGUUCUCGCGUCCCAAGUGGUCUGCUUCAUUACACCUCUUGUCAUUCCGCCAAGCAUUCUACGCACCAUCGACAAGCUAGAGAGGGUGUUCCUUUGGGCCGGCUCGGACAGGACGAGCGGGGCCAAGUGCAAGGUGAAUUGGGAAACGGUAACUCGGACACAUGAUUACGGUGGGCUUGGGGUGCUCAACACGGAGAAGUUCGCGCGUGCCUUGCGUUUGCGUUGGCCAUGGUUUGAAUGGAAGGAGCCUUCUAAGCUCUGAGUGGGGCACGGGAACCCAUGCGACGCCGAAGACCUCAACUUUUUCUAUGCUUCUACCACCAUCACUGUGGGUAAUGGUGCGCGAACGCCUUUCUGGGAUUCUCCUUGGCUUCUUGGCCGCAAGCCCAAGGACAUUGCUCCACUCAUCUUCAAGGCCUCGUCACGAAAGAAUUGAAAGGUGCGGGAGGCCCUAGAGAACAACGCUUGGAUCCUUAGGAUCAAACCUCCAUCCGUAGUUGUGUCCGCUGAGCAUAUUAGACAGUUGUUCUCCCUCUGGAUGCUCCUGGAAGAGGUCCAGAUUGAUGAGCUUACCGAUGAUGACAUCUCGUGAAAGCACUCGGCCUCUGGCCAGUACACGGCGGCCUCUGCUUACAAGGCACAAUUUUUGGGCCUGAUUCUUUCCCCCAUGGACCAAAUGGUUUGGAAGGCCUGGGCGCCACCGAAAGUGAAGUUUUUUGCUUGGCUUGCGAUUCAGGACAGAAUUUGGACUGCCGACCGGUUGGCCAAGCGAGGGUGGCCAAAUUGCGGUCCUUGUCCAUUGUGCAAGGGCGUGCAGGAAUGUGGGCCACAUCUCCUCUUCAAGUGCCGCUACUCUCUGAGGCUCUCGAGGUUGGUCAUUCAGAGAUUUGGCAUUGACGACAUGGACACGACCUCAUGGCACUUGAUGGACUCAGUUGAGAGCUGGUGGGUGAGUACAUGCGACGUCGGCACUACAAACAGGAAGGCCAAGGCGUCAAUUACCAUGCUCGUGUCAUGGGUAAUCUAGAACAAGAGAAACGCAAGAGUAUUUCGGCACAAGAGCGCUCCUCCACCAAUUCUGCUCAACUCCAUUGUGGCCGAGGCAAGCCUUUGGGUCACCGCCGGGGCAAAGAAGUUAGGGUCUUUUAUUUUGCAAGAGUAAUUGCCAUGUCACGUAAAGGGUGUGUGUUGUAAAGAAAAAACUCUAUUCUCUUCUUAAUUAAUGCAUGAGGCAAAGUUUUUGCCUCCGUUUCAAAAAAAAAAUUGGUUGGAAUCUCUGAAUUCUCGGCAUCCCAUCGUUCGCUAUCUGAAGAUUUUCAGUUUCAUAUAAAGGAUAGGAUAGAUUUCCAGUAAGACAGGACACAAAUUCUCUACAAGUGUGACAUUUUUGCAGAUCUACAUGCAAAAGUGCUUACAUAUCAUGGCACACUCUGAAAUUACAUGCAUCACUGACAGGAAAGCCAACAAUUCUCCCAUUCCUUCAUAGCCGGGCGGGAUAAUAGAUAUAACAAAACUAUAAUGCGAUCUUUGCACAUGAAACCCUGCCACUUAUGCAAGUACGACAUCGCCACCAUCAUCGUGCAGGGGCUGUUGCCAUUUUGCUUCAAAGUCCUCCAAGUACUCUCUGCUGUUGAGCUCUGUCAACCUGUAACAACACAGAGCAAAUGAAGGGGGCAAAACAGGCUUAAGACAAAACUAUAAUUCAGAAUAAGAGCUGAUAUAACCUGGUAAAGCACAUUCCACAUUACCUGCUAAUCGUACGAUCUUUGGCAAAUCCUAGCUCAUUGUCCACACAGAGAUCGGGAUCGUCACUUUUGCGCGAGCGUGAAGAUCUAGGUGCACUCUUUUGUGCUUCAGCAACUGUCACGAUGUUCUCGAAUAGCUCUAUCGGCUCAGCCUCAGCUGUGCAUAACAGCCUCGCCUUGUUCUCGUACAUUACCUGAAAAGCAUUAUCGCCGUCAGAGACAAGAUUCUCUGUGCUGCCGGUAUACAGUAUACAUGCAUAUUAGUAGAAUAUUUUAGAUCAAAAAUGGAAAUUGAUUCCAAUUGUCCACCUUUUUUAUAUAAGUAUAGGUCAACACUAGCUUCAGGAGUAGGCUCUUUAAAAAUGCUAACAUGAGAAAGGGCACUAUUACUGACGAAAGUGUAUAUCUGCCAAGCAUGCAUGUUUCAGGUCUUCAAGGUGUCUAGUUCCAAAUUAGAACGGAAGGAUGUCUAAACACAAAGCUAAGGCAGGAUUAAAACAAAAGGAUGACAGACUAAGGAAAGACGAAACAUACAUCAACCAAUGUGACAAACCGAUACGCUGCUGUUCUGUUAUGAUAUCCAAACUUAGGGACACCUUCAACUGCAAGGGUGUGAAACUUCUCUGCACAUUAACAUUUUGGUGUCAGCCAGAUCACAUUAACGGUCUUAUAUUUCUUUACGGAGGGAGUAGCAUUUUGUAAUCCCUAACUGAAACUGCAAUGAACAACUAUACUUACUAAAUAGCCCGAAAUAAUCUGCUGCGCCUAUAGGUCUGUCACAAAGAUCUUCAAACUGGAAAUAUGCACACCCAUUUGCUCCCAGUGGGACCUGCAUAGCCAAGGUUCAGUAGUUGCAGAGUGAUUACAUGAAACAAAAAGCAACCAACUCUGAAUAUCUAACUUCCAAGACCUGCAAAUGUCGUCCCAUAACGACUUCAACUGUUUGAGGAGUAGGUUCCUCAUCUCCAAUCAAAGAUUGGAAUUUCUGUUUAAGAACUGUACUGCAGUCGUUUCCAAUAAAAUAGAAACCUUCUCCAGCCUGCUCAUAAGAUCGAAGAUGUCAUGAAAGGGAAAACUGGAAAAAACAAAUGCAUAACUUGCAACAGUAGGCAACAUACCGAACCCAGUUGACGGUAGUCUACUGCGGAGCCAAUGGGGUGUGAAAUGCACCUUUCCUGCAACAAUCCACAAAAAUUAACAUGAGCACACUAGCAGAUUGAACUUCAGACAGCAGAGAAACUGACAAAUAAAACAACACGUACUUUCAAGGUGUCAAUGAAAGGUAAGAAAAGGUUUCUCUGCAAGCCACCUUCGUAUAGCUGAUCUGGAGCACGAUUAGAAGUCGAAACUAGAAUCUGAACACAAAUAACAAUGCAAAAGAAUCAAUGCAAAAUACUGAGGUAUUCUUGUGUGAGUAACAAGGUUGAUUCAGUGCCAUAAGAAAAUAUAAAUGCAGUCGUCACAUACAACGCCUUUGCUGAACAGAUGUCUGAACAGACGGUUCAAUAUCAUAGCAUCAGCAACAUCAGUUACCUGUAAAGUAUGUUCCGGAUGUGUUAGUAAACAAGCAUUCAAAGCUAAUACAACUAUCACAGCAAGGAUACACAUACCAUAAACUCAUCAAGACAUAAUAUUAUGGCUUCAUCUGAAAUCUCAGCUGCUACCAUAUCAAGGGGAUCUGAAACACCUUUAUGCAUCUGCAUGUAGAUGAAUGUUUAUGAAGAGAUCUAGACUGAAGAAGAAAGAUGAAUAUCUCAUAAUCACAAAAAAUACCUGCAGACGACUAUGAACAUUCAACAUGAAAUCGUGAAAGUGAAUUCGCUUUUUCCUCCAAUUAGCUGGCCUGACAAGAAGUAGUACUGUCAGGAUAGCAAUGGAUUAUUGAAGAAAUGCAUAAAAGGGAAAAUAUGUGCAAGUACCAAGUUGUUGUCUAGUUAAUACCACAUAGCAAAAGAACCAAAGGAAGAUAGGCUACAGUUUAUUUUCCAGGCAUCUUCAUCAGAACUUAGACAACAUUGGUUAUGUUGAUUAAUAAAAUUACAAUGGUCACCAUUGGUUCCUAACAGUUGGAAGUUUGAACUUAGACAGUAAAUGGAGCCCACAGCUUGUCAACUGCUUCUAGGCAUGUCUCAAAAUUACUAUGACUGUCUAUGAAGAGAUCAAGUCUUCAGUAUGUACGACUAAAUUGAUGAAAGAAAAGAAAAUUACUGUUACUACUUGUGUGUAUUGGUUUCACAUGUAAUUUGUCUUAAAAAAUGUGAAGACCAUUGAAAAGUGAAUAUAAUAACUUCGGCCUGUUUAGUUGCAUACGAAUGUGAACUGUUAUAUGAACGCAUUCAGGUAAAUCAAUCUAAUAGAAGAGCACUAAAUGUAUUUCUGAACUGAUACACCGCCAUGAAUAUAUGUGGUGACAUGUUCAGCACUAAUGUGCACUUUCAAGUUCAUGAUUUGGUUAUCUUAAAGCAGCACAAAAUAAGUCCAAAAAUGUUAUAACUGAUUCACUUACAGUUGCUCAUAGAACAGGUCCAUAAGCAUCGUCUUCCCUGUACCAACCCCUCCAUAUAGAUACAAUCCCUUUACUGGUGAUUGGGUAGAAGGCUGAGCAAUGAGGCGAGACCAUAGCCACCUUCUCCUGUCAAACAGAAACCACUAUGGUUAGGAUCACUCUGAUCGGUCCCUUGCUUACUAUGUGAAUUCAAUGCUUUCAAAUCGCGCUUACCUUCCAGAUUUCUCAGAUGACUGAUAUCUAUCGAGCUGGCAGGCUUCUUCAUUCUCUACAAGAUCCUCAUAAAGCCUUUGUAAUUGCUGAAUCGUAUCAACCUGCGUCAAUUGGUAAAAGUUCAGAAGAAUCGUCAGGGAAACACUCAAGAAAUCAUGCAAGAAAAACAUUGAUCAGGUCCAAUUCAAUAACCUGAAAGCUAUCACCAUCCACAAGAUCUCCUGAUGCAAUUCUCUUCUCAUAUUCCACCAUCGGACCACCUCGUGGAACAUCUGGGAGAGUAAUCAAGUUGAGUCAAAUGCCUCCAUCAGAAAUGAGAACAUGAAAAGAGGUUACGAGCAUCCAAAGGUAACAGAAAUGAAACCUUUAAUCGAAUCAGCUGCGGCAGUGGAGAACAUGUUCCUCAGUGACUCCACAGCUGGACUCACAAAUCUGCCAUGUUCAUCAUUCUGGCGCACUGUGCACAGUGAACGAGAUGCGGAACUCCGCAAGAUGAGAGCGUUCUGCUGCCUGGUCAGCCUGUUUAUUGGUGCGCGCCCCUCUGCAUGGUGCCGCGCCAAACGGCGAAGCUGGCGUAGCGAGCGAGCUACCGUUGCUCUCAUCUUUCUCGAUGUACUUUCUAGGCCGACUCAAUCAACGGGCGAAGUUAUGGAACCUGUAACAAUCAUAGCAGAGCAAGAAGCCAUUAGAAAACAAAUAGGGAGCUUCUCCUAAUCAGCGCUGGGCCAUGUGUUGGAAGAUGCAAACUCCAUGUGGGACUGGAAUAUACAGGGAAAAUCUCAAAAGUAAACUGAUAGGCUGGGAGCAUGUGAUUUGGAAUCAGCUAGCAUGAAAGGCUACCGCGAAAAUGACACGGAAAGGGUGGCCAGUAAUCAAGCGGAAUAAUGCAACUGCUGCAGGCCGCUUUCCAAGCCCAUCCAAGGGAUAAAAAAGAAGCCGUGAACUCUCAAGGUGUCGUGUCAAUGGCCUAUUGAUUCCAAAGAAUAAUAAAAAAGAGGCUUUAAGCGUUGCUAAUCAGCUGCCUUUAGGUCCAAGGGAUAUACUGGGAUCAAUUAAACUGACCAGAAACACGAAACUCGCAUCAAUCAAGUACUGUGGUAGGAAAUUAAUGCAGCAAGAUGAAUUAUUAUUGAUUUUUUUUUUGCGAUGGAUAAUAAUCCUCAUCAGGGGAUUAAAAGCGAGGGAGCAGCAAAAAAUCCUGGAGCGGGGAGCUGAAGGGUAGAAGAAGCUCCGUGUCGGUGGGAGCAGUUACCAAUCCAGGAAAUCUGGAGCCCCAACAUUUGGGGAGCAAGGAGCCACCGCGGCGGCGGAACGGAAGAAAAGAGGGACAAUUUGUCGCACGCACGUACCCAAUGGUCUCGCCGCGGAGAAGCCGGCGUUCCUCGGCGGAGCGGGAGCCCCGUCGCGCGCGGCGUGGACGGACGGGUGGUCGGUGGCUGCCUUUCCCCGACCUCCUCCGGCGGCGGCGAGCGGCCCUGGCAAUCCAACCGCUGGAGAUUGGAGAGGAGAGAAACGUGAGGCCAACGACAACGGAGCCGCGCUAAAAGAGGUAGGCGCAGCAAAGACCGGGCGGGAGAUGAGGAGCAGGGGAAGAAGGCAAUACCGAAUCGAACUUGGGCAGCAGGAAGCCGGCGCGGUGCCGGCGUCGGAGCAGAGGGACAGCGACGUCGCCUGGCCGCCGCGUCGGGUCGCCGCGCGGAGAAGAGGAUUAUUCUUGGCUGGCUGGCUGGCUGGCUCUCCUGGGGAUGAGGGGGCAGGGGAAGGGGAGUGGGAGUGGGGGGUCCGAGGCUCCGGCGACGAGGAGAAAAGAAACAGGCAGGCGCAAAGGGGAUCGGGAACACAAGAGAGGACCGGGAGGAUGGGAUGGGAAACGUGAGCUGGAAUUGAGUUGGUGCCGCGUGUUGUUUUGUGUUGUGUUGUUGCUUGGGACAAUGAAUGAAUUGAAUCGAUAAAAUAGUCGUCCCACCCGUGUUGGACUCGUCCUCGUCACCGUCACCUCCUCGUGGCCGGACUCGGAGUGGGGAGGUGAGCCUACUCGGCUUCUUCUUUCGCAUGCGUCACGGACCAGAUUAACCUCAUGUUUGAUUUUUCUCCUCCACAGCCGAGAAACUAAAGGUCUGGGCAUCUCCAACCUGUUUGCACACGAACACGUCAUCGUGUAUCUCCAACGCCGAGGGUGAUGCACCGCAGCUCACGUCGAAGGAGACCCGUCCGGAAGCGCGGUACGCAAGCAAUCCGGCGGAUGCUUUUCAGGACCCGAAACCCCACGCGCCCAGAAGGGACCCCGUCUGGACGUGCGGCGGCUAUGGGCUGCCCUAGGUCGGUUCGCCCGCCCCUAGAGCCUCGAGGAUCACUGCCCUUCAACACGAAGAACGAACGAAGAACGAGAGAGAAAGAACAAGGGGGGGAUGUAAAACUAGGGUAAAAAGUAGAUGUGUUUUGCGAUUGUGUGUUGUUUCAAUCGGACGUCACCCCCAACAUAUAUAAGAGGCGGCUGGACUUCCCGUACAAGCAAAGGAUUUAUCUAGGCUUUCCUUACAAGAAAAUUACAUCAAUUCACGUCCAAAACCCUAGUCAAAUUCGGACUGGUUUUAUCCGAACUUCCCAAAACUGUUAGGUUUAAACUGGCUGCACCUUGCGGGUCCUUUUUGCGGUGGUAAACGAUCUCGGAUGAAAACAAACCCAAAAGCAAUCUUGACUGUUUCGACGAGGCGAACAACUUUCAUGUUGAAGGGUUUUUAAUCAGAGAUCAUCUUGAGGGUCAAAUCUGUCUCGCAACACAGGCUAUCUCCUCGCGCUACCCGUCAGACAUGUGUCUUGUGGGGCGCGCCACAUCUCGCCUCGUGACAAGGCUGCACUCCGAUUGCUCUAACUUUUGCAUACGAACUCGGAUUUGAAUGAUUUUUAUAUCAAAAUCGAUCGUUUCGACGAGACGAAGACAAUCCGUGUAGAAACUUUUUCCAUAUGAAGCCAUCUUGCAGGUGUAAUCAGCCGAAUAGUGUUCUGAAUACAAAAUCUGAGUACUUCGAACACAACUUCGUCCUUAGAGAUGAGACCGGAUGUCUAUGGCCCAAAUAUCAAAGUUUUUCCUUUUGACGAUACGGAACUUUCUCACUUUGAGCACUUCUCCAUUUAAGGCCAUCUUAAUUAAGUUCUUGGCCGUGCCAAAAUAUGGUGUCAACACAUGCCCCCCUGUUUUUCAGCAAAGCUUGUGUGCCGAAAAAUAACUUGCAUGAUGCUUUUACUAAGGACGAUGUCAACACUUCAUCGGCCAUUUUAUGUGCUUAGGGCGAUAAUUUGUAUAUCGGCCAUGUUUAACUUCUUGUUUACAUCAUACCCUGGAACCGAUCACCACCAAUCGGCUUUAAAGAGAUGGGAAUGAACCCGUUCCUCGUAGCACUAAGGAAAUCAAACUCCGAGAGGUCACGCCCUGUUAAGCAAGUAACAUCCGGAUGAUUCCAAUCCACCGAUGCAUCGGCCAAAGCAACACAAGCCGAAUUAUCCGCGUGAAUGACUUCUACCUCAUCAUCGACCCACUGUAUUAAGAAUUGAUGCAUGGUAGAUGGCACACAUUGAUUAGCAUGAACCCAAUCGCGGCCUAAUAUAACAUUAUAGUUACCUUGCACCUGGGCGAUGAAGAAUGUGGUGGCUAAAGUUUUGCUUCCCACAAUGAGUUCCAUGCACAUCACACCUUUGGCCUCUGUCUUUUUUUUUACCCUCAAAUCCAUUAAGUACCAUAUUGGUCCUCAUUAAUGCAUCAUCAUCUAAACCCAACUUCUUGAAGACCGAGUAGGGCAUAAGAUUUACCACAGCACCACCAUCAAUGAGCAUCCUAGCAACCGGCGAUUCGUUAACAUGACCUUUGAGGUACAAUGGCUUCAAGUGUUUCACCGGUUCUUUUGGCUUCUCGAAGAUAGCAUUCUUAGGACCAAAAUCCAGCUGGGCUACCUCCCCUUCUUCACCUAUAGCAUGAAACUCGGCAGGUAAGUAAUAUACCAUAUUAAUAUCCAUACCUUCCCGAACCGGCGUAGAUUCAUAAUCCACCAUCUCAUCUUCAUCUCCCAAUGUGAAUAUUGGGCUCAAAGAUUCCUCAAUUGAAGGGGAUGUUUUAGGUGGUGUGGAUGAUGUAAUAGGGGUUGCAUCAUCCUCUUUUGGUGGCGAAUGUGUUGCUGUAGCUAAUGUAGAAGCAUCUGCGUUUUCUUUUUGUUUAGGCCUCCACACUUGUUUUGUGAGUGCCAUGGGCCGAAUUUCACUUAACAAUUCGUCCCUUUGCCUCUCCUCUUUGUGCUCUACCUUCUCGUGGUUCCUCAUGCAUUGUAAUCUCUUUUUCAUGGUCUUGGUUAAACCGGGAGGACACCACUUAGGUUGAGUAUAUUUGGGAUCCCUUGGUUUGGCCUUGCUUGUGCUCGCCUCAUGAUCACUAACCAUGGAACCCUGCUGAACAAUAACAAUAUCACCAUUAGAAGUAGCCAGAUUACCAACAAUCGGCUUUUUGAUCUCCUUUUGCUUGUCGCAUUCUGAAAUUUCUGCAUUAGAUGACUUAACACGCCACACUUUUUUAUUGGCUUACUUGGAGAAUUUUUUGUUGGCCGAUUAGCACCAUAGCUCAAACGGCCUUGUGUGGGAUAAUAAAGCCUCUCGCGACAGGCCUUCUAGGUGCUGUCCACCCCAUAUGGAAAGCAUAAGGAGCCAUUGGGGGCUGCCCCCAUCCUCCACUGAAGCCUCUCAUGUAAUAUGGCGCAUAGAAGGGUUGUGACAUCCAUGGUGUCGGUGCCCAUGACCCAUAUGGCCUUGCAUAUCAUCGAAACUCUUGCUCCGGAGGCAAUCCUGAACGCUUUGAAUGUGAUGGCCGAUUAGAGCUAGAACCAGCCGCUUGACUUGCAUAUUUGGACAACAACAUAUCAAAAGUUGGCUUGAUUCUCUUGUUCUUAGUUUCAUUCUUUUUCCACUUGCCAACUUCUGAAUUCUUGGGCUUGAUCAAUUUAACAUGAGCAUCCUCUUGUACUUGUGGUUGCCCCCGAGUGUAGCAUUUUUUAUAGUGAUCUUCAACACUUCCUCGCCAUCGGGUUGCUUCUUAAGCACAAUCUUUCUUCCCAAGACCUUGUCGCCCUCCUUGCUAUUCCUGGGUUCACCAAUAACAACAUUAUCUUUAUUAGCGGAUUCGGCUAUGUUAGGCCGAAUUAACAUUUUCUUCCCUUCCAAGUCUAUGAUGUUUAUGGGGAAGGGCUGCUUAUCAACUUGCAUCUCAGCAAAAUUCAAUCGUCCGUCAUUAAUGGCCGAUUGUAUCUGUCAUCGAAAAACAUUGCAAUCGUUAGUAGCAUGAGAAAAUGAAUUAUGGUACUUGCAAUAAGCACGCCGUUUCAGCUCCUCAAACGGCGGUAUGGUGUGUGAUAUUCUAAUCAUCUUAUCUUGCAAGAGAGGAUCAAAUAUUUUAUCACACUUUGAUAUAUCAAAAGUAAACCUCAUCUCCUCAUCACGAUUCUUGCGAAUCGGCUUAAGAGCAUUGCACAUAUAGGGUUUGGCCUUUGAGGACCAAACAAAUUCAGUAGUAUAGACAUCAACCUCAUCGUCCGAAUUAUCAUCAUUGUGUUCAACCAUAUGCAUUCUAGGACGAUCGGUUGCAGACCUAUGGACCUCUUUACUUCGACUCUCUUGGGACAAAGCUUUUUGUAAGACUUGAUUAAUGCUCGAAAACUCAUAACUUUCUAGCCUUUCUUUAAUGUGAGUUUUCAAACCAUUAAGAACAAGAUCUGCCAAGUCUCUCUCAGUUAUCACUAAGCUAUAACAUCAGUUUUUUUAUAUCUCUAAACCUCUUGACAUAAUCGGUGACCGAUUCAUCAUGUUUCUGCCUAACCGAUGUAAGAUGUGACAACUUUAGCUCAUUAUCGCCGCUAUAAAAGUGAUCAUGAAACUUUUGCUCUAAUUGCGACCAUAAGAGAAUUGAGCCAUGUGGUAAAGCAGCAAACCAUGAAAAUGCGGUACCAGUUAAAGAUAAUGGAAAUAAACACACUUUCAAUUCUUCUAUGGAACCUGCUUCACCCAACUGUGCUAGAUACUGACUCGCAUGCUCCCAAGUUGUUUUCGUACCCUCACCACUAAAUUUAACAAAAUCAGGAACCUUAUAACCUUGAGGGUAAGAAGUUGCAUCGAAGUGUUCAGGAUAAGGCUUUUGGUACACACGACUCUUUACUUUCGGCUCGUUUCCGAAAGUUUCUAGAAACAUCUUAUGCAAAUCCUCCCUUAAUUUAGCUAAAAUUGGAUCUGAGGUAGAUAAAGAUGUUUGUGGUAAUGACAUAGAAGCAACCUAAGUACUAGAUAUUGGUGCAACUUGUGGGAUGGGCGUCGAACCAUAAUUCGGCGGAAGACCAAACAUGCCUGCGCCUAUGGGUGGUGUGACAAAGUGAUUCGGCGUUGACGCCGAAUUGGGCACACUCAUAAUAGGAUUAGAGUAUGUAGGUGCAGCCACAAGCUGGUUGGUUUGAGUAGGGUAAAAAUUCAACGGCAUAUUAUAUUGUUGUUGCAUAGGUGGUGCCGAUGAAAUAGGUAAAAUUGGACUAGGGUUUUCAGAUAUACCAACAGUACCACUAGAUGAUGGAGGCAUAUUUUUCUGAGCAUUAGCACUAGCCACAAAAGAAUUGUAUGCCAUCACAUUACCCUUACUAACAAGACUUUCAAUCACAGCCACUUGCUCUGGAGAAAAAAAUUUACUCACAGUGAUUAGAUCUUGUUCAUCGAUGAGGGGAGGAAAAUUGGUGUUUCCAACCGGAGUGAUGUUGCCUUGACGGUCCUUCUUGAAACUUGAAAGAAACGCUUCCAAAUCCUCCUCCUCGCGCUUCUUCUUGAGCGCCUCAAAAGCCUCUUCACGCUGCUUCUUGUGCGCUUCGUAGGCUUGGCGAUGUUCAUCCGAUAGUUCAUCAAGACCGGGCUUAAUGAUGUUAUCGGCGUCAACUUCUGAGGGCUUGGGGAGAUUAGACAUGGUUGAUGAUGAUUCUUGAUCUUUCUUCCCCAGCGGAGUCGCCAAAAAGUGUGUUCGCACACGAACACGUCACCGUGUAUCUCCAACACCGAGGGUGAUGCACUGCAGCUCACGUCGAAGGAGACCCGUCCGGAAGCGCGGUACGCAAUCAAUCCGGCGGGUGCUUUUCAGGACCCGAAACCCCACGCGCCCGGGAGGGACCCCGUCUAGACGUGCGGCGGCUAUGGGCUGCCCUAGGUCGGUUCGCCCGCCCCUAGAGCCUCGAGGAUCACUGCCCUUCAACACGAAGAACGAACGAAGAACGAGAGAGAAAGAACAAGGGGGGGAUGUAAAACUAGGGUAAAAAGUAGAUGUGUUUUGCGAUUGUGUGUUGUUUCAAUCGGACGUCACCCCCAACAUAUAUAAGAGGCGGCUGGACUUCCCGUACAAGCAAAGGAUUUAUCUAGGCUUUCCUUACAAGAAAAUUACAUCAAUUCACGUCCAAAACCCUAGUCAAAUUCGGACUGGUUUUAUCCGAACUUCCCAAAACUGUUAGGUUUAAACUGGCUGCACCUUGCGGGUCCUUUUUGCGGUGGUAAACGAUCUCGGAUGAAAACAAACCCAAAAGCAAUCUUGACUGUUUCGACGAGGCGAACAACUUUCAUGUUGAAGGGUUUUUAAUCAGAGAUCAUCUUGAGGGUCAAAUCUGUCUCGCAACACAGGCUAUCUCCUCGCUCUACCCGUCAGACAUGUGUUUGGUGGGGCGCGCCACAUCUCGCCUUGUGACAGGGCUGCACUCCGAUUGCUCUAACUUUUGCAUACGAACUCGGAUUUGAACGAUUUUUAUAUCAAAAUCGAUCGUUUCGACGAUACGAAGACAAUCCGUAUAGAAACUUUUCCCAUAUGAAGCCAUCUUGCAGGUGUAAUCAGCCGAAUAGUGUUCUGAAUACAAAAUUUGAGUACUUCGAACACAACUUUGGCCUUAGAGAUGAGACCGGAUGUCUAUGGCCCAAAUAUCAAAGUUUUUCCUUUUGACGAUACGGAACUUUCUCACUUUGAGCACUUCUCCAUUUGAGGCCAUCUUAAUUAAGUUUUUGGCCGUGCCAAAAUAUGGUGUCAACACAACCUUGACCCGUAAAUUUGCUCCGGCAUCUGGCCGUGGACUUGGGACCAAUGCACGAACAUUGAUGCCAAAGACCGGCAUCCAACGAUGCCGCGUAUAUUUCAAUCACUGUUGAAACUAUACGGACGAAACUCCUGCAAACCGGCCGCAUUCUCAUAUAGACCGAAAAAGAUUCACGCAAACGACGGUGGAUCUCGCUGUUACAGGAAAUAUACUUCAACUGAAAGCGGAGCUCGUAUGACAACUGAAGGUAUAAUUUCUAACAUACUUCUAUUCUAAACCUAUCUAAAUAAUUGUGGGCGCCCGUUCCGUGUGUUCGGACAUGAGCCGCGAGAGCUGAAGCUCCCACACUUGCCUUCGCCUUUUCGAGUUCCGCCUUGGCACUCUUCAGCUCUACCUUUGCAGUCUCCGCCACCGCAGCCUGAGGAACUAACCUAUCGUCGAUUAUCAGCCCGCUGAACUUGGCUUCGGGCAGAGGGGGUGAGUGGUGGCCUUCCUGCGACCCGGGCGGCGGCGACCCACCAUGCACUAUCUAUGUCGCUGUCAACGGCGGGCGUGCCAGCUUCGUGGUCGUGGCGGCGGGACGCGGUCUCGACGGAGCAGGCAAUGUCCUCCUCAUCGUCUGUCUUGCCCCACACCUCAUCCGCCGCCUCAUCGAACUCCUUAUAGGCGCCUCCAGUUUUGCAUGAUGCUGGCAGUACCGCCAGCGGGCGAGGCAGAUCUGGAGCGGUAGGACUCAAGCAGCGACACCUGCUCCAUCACGUCCGCGUCAGGCGCGAUCGCUCUAUCGGCGUCGAGCUGCUCCUCCACCUACUGGUGCUUCUGGAGAAGCUGGAGGUUGUAGGCCACAUCAGCCUGCGCCUCGCCAAUGGUCGCGGUGCAAUGCACCAGCGAGGGUGGCGCCCACGAGAAGGGUGCCGACGGCCCGUCCUCGGUCGCGUCCUCCAUUGUGACAUCGCGGCCUUCAUUUGACUGUUGGCCUGCCGGCUGACAACAAUGGUGGCCAUCUUCCUAUGCUUCGACGACAGUUCGUUCCAGAUUGCUUUGAAGCAUGAGGAGCCCAUGGUGCGAGUCGUGUGGACAGGAGAAAGGGGACGAAGGAGGAUGAAUGCGGUUAUGGUCGAGGUUGCAGUUUAUAUAGCGGGCGGAUGACAAUGGUGGGCGACAGACAAACAGACAGACGGGUGACGCCAGAUUAGUUUCCUCGGUAACUGUGUGUCACUAGAAGAACGCCCGUGCGUUGCAACGGGGCCAUAUUAACUUUAAAAGUUCAAUAUCAAUUAUGUUAAUAUUACAUUUAAUAUUCUCAUACAUAUUAAGUGACAUUGACGACCUUUUUUACUAUCAAAUUCUCACACACACAUCCUCUUCCUCACUCUCUCUCAUCCUCUUCCUCACUCGGGAGGUGGGACGAAAAUAAACCCGGAACGGAGACUACCAACUGAGACACUAGGAGUAGAGAUCAUUUAGUUGAUAAGAAUAAAUAGAAAACAGUGUUAAAAAGGAGAAACAAAUUAGAAUACAUUGAAAAACUAAAAGGACGAUGUAAAAGGGGAUUCGCCCUACCCCCGGGGCCUUGCCAUCGAACCGGAUCAGCGUUCUAGUCCUUGCACGGUCGUCUUCUCCUGUUUCCCGAGCCGCGUCGCUACAGAGCCGGGCUCCCGCCCGACCACCUCGCUGGCAUCGAAGGAGAAUGGAUAAGGGUGACGCCCUUCCUUCCCUGCCCCCAUGGCCUCACUCCUCCUCGACGCCCCUCCCAAAGCCACUUCUCCUCCUUGCUCGCUCGAUCCCGUCGAUCUGGACGAAGUCAGACGCCACGACCACCAUGAUCGACCCCGUCCACAUGGCCACUGCCCUCCCUGCGGGCUAGGAGCUUGUCGAGGAGCUCCGAAGCCUUCGCUACUUCGUCUGCGCCAACGAGAUCAAGUCCAGCACCCCCACAUCGACGUCGUUGUCGUCUUUCUCAACCUUGGGCCACCGCGACAUUGCCGUUCGAUCCACGCCGCCCCGAGCUCCCAUGUCUUCCCUUAGGGACGCCAUUGAUACCGCCAUGAUCUUCUCUUGCCUUUCCCCUGUUUCCCCUCUCGUUUGCUCUCGUUAGGUAUUUCGUUGUGGCCGAAAACCGCCGUCCGCCAUGUCCAUUGCAGGGGUAGCCACCGAGCUCCUCGGAUUGACCCCGUGGCACAUGCCCGCUCCUAUGCACGCCCAUGCCCGAGCCUACCGUUCUUCUUUCGCGCGCGCGGGGCCACUCCCUCUCCAUGCCCACGCCCGUGCUACACCGCGUCGGUCGCGUCCGCCGCUGCCUUCACGCUCGCCGCAGCCACCGCACCAUUGUGCCCCACGCGACACACACCCUGGCCGUGCGCCACACUCUCGCUGGCUGCGCUCGCCCCGUCUGCUGCCGCCUAUCCCUUCGCUCGCCCCGCUAUCGCGCCCUGCCUCGCGCCGCCUCCAUUCGUGGCCAUCUUCUGCCGACUGCCCCCUCAGCCACGCCGGCCGCAUCUCUGCCCUCCACCGUCGGCCGCUCGCCUCGCCAGCUGCGUGUUGCUUCCUGCUGCUAUGCGCUGCUCUACCACUGGUACGCUGCUGCGCCAUGCCCUCGACAUUGCCAUGGACAAAUGUGGCGGAGGGAUUGUUAAUGGAGUACGAGAAGGAGGUGGCGGAGAAGGUGUGGAGAGGCAGGAGGUCUGGGCGGUGUCACCUGGCAGUGGUGGAGAUGUUUAUGCGAGAAGGAGCCAGAGUGGAAGGAGAGGUCACAAUUGGAAAGAAUCGCAAAAAAGAAAAACAUAACCCGGAGAUCUCAGUUCAAAAAAUGCUAAUAUCGAUGGAGGGGUGAUUUCCUUCAAUAGGUGGAAAACAUAGGAAAUAUUGGUUGUUAUCGAGGAAAGGUAAAAAAUUAGGAAAGUUAGGAUUUUUGAACUGAUUUCUAUGCAAAUGAGGUUUUAUUGUUUGGUAACGUGAUAUCAGUACCUGCCCAUUUGUGACGUGUCUGAUUAGAAAAGUUUGCAAAUGUUAAGAAACUAUUUAUUGGGAGGAAAGUUGUGACGUGUCUGUUAUUUGUUUUCUAAAACAAAUUUCACUAAUAAGAGAAAUCGAUUGAUUUAGAUAAGUUAGGAAAGUUAGAUUAAAAUGUAUUAUUUGUUUCUUGAAAAUUUGUUAUUUGUUUCCUAAGACAAAUUGAACCAAUAAAAGGAAUCGAUUGAUUUGCAUAAUUUAAGAAAGUUAGAUUAAAAUGUAUUAUUUGUUUCCUGAAAAUCUGUUAUUUGUUUCCUAAGACAAAUUGAACCAAUAAAAAGAAUUGAUUGAUUUGCAUAAAUUAAGGAAGUUAGAUUAAAAUGUAUUAUUUGUUUCCUGAGAAUCUGUUAUUUGUUUCUUAAGACAAAUUGAACUAAUAAAAGAAAUCGAUUGAUUUGCAUAAUUUAAGAAAGUUAGAUCCGUGAUUUGUUAUACGUUAGGAAAGUUCUGGUUGUAAUAAAGAGUGAAGAGAAAAAUAAACCGAUGGACCAGGGUGGGAGGGGGUGGUAGGAGGAGAGACAAAAAAACCAGCGAAAAUAAACCGCGGCCCAAUGUGGGAGGGGGUGGUGGGAGGAGAGACGAAAAAAAACCAACGAAAAUAAACCGCGGAGACGAUUCACCAACUCGUCCAUUAGGAGUAGAGAUUAAUGCCGACGACAAUAGACGGUUGUGAUGUCGUUUGAACGCGGAGCAGCCGCGUGCACCGAGAAAUGGUGUGGGUGACGCUCUCUCGGCUGGCGUGCCACUUCAAUGUCGGUGCCAGUGAGAGGACUUGUCUGGACAUGAAUACGGCACUGGCGCUCUGCAAUGGCGCUGACAGUUCCAGGCAGGAAGCACUCGCGGGCGAGGGAGGGGGUUUGAGUGUGCCAGGGUGAUCAGAAGAGGGUGUGGCAGCUGUCCGGACACCAGUAAAAUCCCCUAAUUUUUCUCAUAUUUGUGAGAGAAUGUGCGUUUGAAUCGUUUGGUGAAUCCAUACAAACUCGUGUUGAAUAGCACAAACGUCUGAAACAUACGGUCCGGAUGUAUACAAACAGUUUGAGGGUAGAGAUGCCCUUGGACACCUGCAGCAUCAAAGGGGUAGACUGUAUCUGCAUUAAUUAUACUUGCACAAUUCUGAACUGAACAGGAAAACGACUCGUAUGUACGUGUGGCUCUCUAUUGCCGUCGCGUCCGCAUCGAAAAAUUAAAAUUUGAACGGGCAGUCCGCAUCAAUAGUGGAGUGAUUAGGUUAUGUAGCCCACUUUUCGUUUUAUCCCAGCCAGGUCCAAUCGUUCUCCGUCUAGCGGAUCGACACAGAGCCAUGUACCAAUGGCAUAACAUAUGACAUAACUGUUUGGAUCGCGCGGUUCGAACUUAUGCGGGUGGUUCAAGGAUCGGUGUUGAAGGUGUCCGUACACAACUGCAGAGUUUGUAUCUGCAUUGGUUAUGCUUACACAAAUCUGAACUGAAGGGGGAAAACGACUCGUAUGUAUAUGCGGCACUCAUUGUGGCCGUCCCGAUCAAUAGUGGAGGAAUUGGGUAAGACCUAUCCUCUUCCUCUCUUUUUUUUGCCCAGCCAGGUCCAAUGGCGCUCCACUAUUGAGAUGCUGAGACGAUUCCGCAACAGGCACGUCUGGACCGGCUCUACCGCAUAUGCAAAAGCACAAAGCAGCAGGAGGAUAGGAUAGAGAGAAUAAUGGAAAGACGUCCGGGAAGUGCCGCCUUUAGAAAAAAGAGAGAGGGCGAGGUAGUACGCAGAACAGAUCCGAGUAUCUGGGAUGGGAUGGAUGGAUGGAUGCGUAGAGCAGAGCAGAAACUUACUCGGUUGUGGACCGACCGGGACGAGGAGGCCGGUGCCUGCCUGCCUGCCUCCCACGAUGUAUUUGUUGGAGACGUGGUUGGUGUGGGGAAGGCGAUGGGGCUACUCCACCUGGUUGCCGCGACGUGUCCCAGAGAAAAGAAAUGAAAGGGGUGUGCGGUGCGCUCUCCGGCCCGUCCGUAGUAACAACACGAUGAUGAUGGCCCGGUUGAUGAUAACAUCCGUCUCGUUUUCCAUCACGAUCCCCGCUGCGCACUGUGUCCGUGUGUGCCACGUUUUUCUGCCCUGUGCCAUGUUUUUGAAAUAGCUCAGAAAAACUGCUGGAAUUUAGUCUAUUUUGGGCAGCCCAAUAACUAUUUCAGAAAUUCCUAAUAAAUCCUAGAGGCCCACUUAGCCCAUUUGUGCAAGGCAAGAAAUAUUACUAAAAUUUAGUCCCACAUUGCUAGUUUAGUCGGAGUUGGACCUCCUUAUAAGGGAGGUUCUUUCCCCACUUGUACGAGCAUGAGAACAAGAGGGAUAUCCACGCGCGCUCCUCCGCCGCCCGCCUCGCCGCGGGUUGCGGGAAUGAGCCAAUAUCUAAAUUUUUGCCACGCACUACGGGUAUACGAAAGGUCACUCGGGAGCUGGAAAGUUUUGUCCCGGCGCAGCCUCUCGCCUCCUUCUCUUCGCCUAAAAGGGAGGUCGCUCCUCUCAGAGAGACGCACCAGAAUCUCUUCCUCCUCUCGCCACAAGUUCCUGAGCAUUGCGCUGCUGCUACGUUCUUCCCCAUCCCGUCUUGCGGCGUGCACCGCAGGUCGGGACAGUAGGCCUCCGAAACCGCACCUUUUGAGUCCUGUACGGGAGAAGGGUGAUAAGAUUUUUGGGGAGCGCUCAGCGCGACUACUGGCUGCUUCAUCACGGACAAUCCGGUCGCCGACGACUACUUCCCCGACGAAGACUUCUUCCCCGACGUCCACGACCUCCUCGACGACAUGGCAGGCGAGGACGCUGACCCCAAGUCCAGCGCUUCUGCUGCUGCUGUCCCGUACGUGUUCUUGUACGCAUGACUUGUUUUAUCUCUACUAUAUUAGUCAUGUGUUAUCUAGUAUUUCUGUUAAUAAAAUUAUUUGAUAAAUUGCUCAUAUUUCCAACAAUCCAAAAACCUUAUUAUAGGCAAUUUACCCCAAGUGGUUUUGCUGCUUCCAUGAGACCUCCUAUGUUUGAGGGUAUCCACUAUAAGAGGUGGCGCGUGAGAGCAGUCUUAUGGUUUCAAACCAUGAGUUGCUAUGACGCCACUCUCGGCAAACCUGAAGGAGAGCUUGAUGCUCAACAGGCACAAGCUUUUCAGAAAAUGGAUACUCUGUUUAAGGCUGCUCUCUUGAGUGUUCUUGGUGAGAACAUAGUUGAUGCUUAUGCGUCAAUUGAUAAUGGAAAAGAUAUGUGGGAUGCACUCGAGGCCAAGUUUGGGGUCUCGGAUGCUGGCACUGAGCUGUACAUCAUGGAGCAAUUCUAUGAUUACAGGAUGACUGAAGAGCGCUCCGUGGUUGAGCAAGCUCAUGAGAUACAGUCAUUUGCUAGAGAACUUGAACACUUUAGUUGUAUGCUACCGGACAAGUUUGUUGUCGGAGGUAUCGUCACUAAGCUUCCUCCUUCAUGGAGGAACUUUGCUACCUUGCUGAAGCAUAAAAGGCAGGAGUUUUCCGUCCCGGAUCUCAUUGGCACUCUUGAUGUGGAAGAAAAGGCGAGAGCAAAGGACACACAUGCUCGAGGUAUUGAGGGAGGAUCUAGUGCCAAUGUGGUACAGAAGCAGAACUUUCAGCCCCACAAGUUCAAGAAUAAGGGCAAGUUUGAUGGAAAAGCAAGUUUGAUGGGAAGAACAAGGCUGUGCAACACACAAACUUCAAGAAGAAGAAUGGCAAGAAGAAAGGUGCUUGUCAUGUGUGUGGGGUGGCCGAAAGAAAGAACCAUACUCUAACUGAUUUGGUUAAUGCCAUGUUAGAUACAUCGGGUCUCUCCAAGGCAUGGUGGGGGGAGACGAUAUUGACAGCAUGUCAUGUCCUGAACCGAGUCCCCACUAAGAACAAAGAGAUAACUCCAUUCGAGGAAUGGGAGAA